rnacentral:lncRNA from 1 species
GGUGAGUUAUCGAUGAAAGCUAGUACAAUUUUCCCGGCAACCCGUGAGAGGGUGAGUUAUCGCGUUUCCCGCAUCCAAACAGAAUCUUCAUCAAACGUGAGUGUCUAAUUCUAAAGCAAAAUCAUUCAAGGGGUUUCCACGCAAGAGAAGCUAAGAUACUCCAGGUGAUUAUCGCUAAAAUUCUUCGCGGAUCUCUCGAAAACAAUCCCACUCACGUCCCCUCCAAAAUCCUCUUAGCUUCCUCAUCAUCCGCCCCUGGCUCGACAAUCUUCUUCGUUUCCGACUGCACUACACGUCCGUGCAUCGUAUUACGCGAGUAUAGCAGCUCUCGACUCGAUUUAUUCUCGCUCACGUUAGCCGAAAUCCAGCGCAUAAAAAGUCCGGCACGUCCAGUCGGUGAAAUCCGACUCGAGAUUCUUUCUAAGCUCGCGAUGAUGAUAAUAACGCAUAGUAAUUCGAUGAUAAGCAACUUUUUUCUCUUGAAAAGAAGUGAUUUAGCUCGCGGCGCUCGCAAGCUCGGAAAAGCUCGGCAAAAACGACUCGACGCAUAAAUAAUCCUGCUGCGGCACCCACGAUCGCGCUCGCUGUACGUCCUCGUAUGCAUAUGCGUGAAAAAAGCUCUGCCAAGAAGAAUAGAAAGAGGGAGAAAGGGGGUAGGGGAAGGGUAGGGGGGAUGUCAACGCAACUCGAGAGAAUGAAGUUUUGAAUAGUCGACCCAUAUCGCGGUCGCUCUAUUGUCCAAGAGUCAAGCAUCCGGCCGUUAUAUUGUCGUGAUAUGCCUGGCGCACAUACGUCUCUAUAUAUAUUCCCACACAUCCACGCAUUCCAGGUCGAGCUGACCAGGCAGCUGAUGACUCGUUAAGUGUCAUUUCGCGAGCGACGUCUCUCCCUCUUUUUCAACGAAGGCGACAAUGUAAAAACGGCCUUUUUUCUAGAUCAAUCUCCGAAUAAUUUCAAAAGUAGGUAUGCCGUUCUUUCGGGGAUUUAACAUUCAAUCCUAUAGGACGCAGCUGAUUUAAUGAAUACGCGAAGCUCGCGAGUAGCAGGGCUAAAUGACAGAUACUUUACGACUCGUAUGCUAAGCAGCGCGCUAGCUGUUUCAUCGCUUGUAAAUUACGCGGAGAGCUGGCGAGCUACGCGAUAUUUACGAUAGUUUCUGAACAGCCCUCUUUAAUAUUUAUAACUUCGAGUCUUGUAUUACCUCGAGGUAAUUUUUCGCGAUACUUUAUAUGCUGUACGAUCCUGACAGUAGUCGGAAAAAUUAAUCGUUCCUUCUUUAUAAAUCCUCCCGGCUAAUCAGGCCAAUAAUUUUGAGGCUAUACAAUCAGCCCUCGAUAAACCCUACUAAACACCCUCUUCGUUUAAAAGCCCGCGAGCUUUUAUCGGAAAUCUCCGGAAGAAGAGUGAGAGGGAGAGGGGUGAAAAAAAGGAAAUCCAACUUUCGAUGCCUUUUUGUCCAAAUAAAUUCGAAGGCAUUACAUUCUGGGAAGGAGGAGGAAGAGGGCUCGUAGUAAGCCUCUGCGGAGCAUCCGCAUAGCGCGGACUUUUCCGCGUCGAGGGGAAACUGGGACGACGAGCUUGCAAGCUCGAACUUUUCGGCCUCCUCUCUCCUUCUUCCACUUCUUCUUUUCUCCUUUUUCGGCCAGUAGCUCUCCGUCUCACUUUUUCGUCGUGUGCUUUUGCGGCUGCUGCCGCUGCAGCUUGUUUUAGCAUUUAGUUUUCUGCGCUGGCUUUCAUGAGUUUGCUUGAUCUCUCUCUCUCUCUCUCUCUCUCUCUCUCUCUCUCUCUCUCUCUCUCUCUCUCUCUCUCUCUCUCUCUCUCUCUCUCUCUGUUGUGAGCUUUGAGAGCGAGCUUGACUCGCUGCUAUUUUCUUAUUGGCUCAGGUCAGUCAUUAAUAGGUCGUGUUUAAGAGACUCUUCACAAUUUCGCAUUCCUCGAAUUUAACGUUUCUCAAUUUUUCGAGCUUUUCCCCCACAAAGACAGAUCUCUCCCGAGUUUUUCCUCUCUCGAAAAAAAAACAGCAUACAUCUUCUCCUUCUCUCUGUGCCAAAAAAAAACAUCCCUCCUUUCUUCCAAUCCAUAUCAUCUCGCGCUAUCCGGUCAGUCGGCGAAGCUUUUCCUUUUCUCUCGACCCGCGAGCCACCUACUGCGGUUCUCUGCCGCACUCAGCCGAAAGGGUUGUAAAAGGAGGAUAUAGAUAAAGGCCGCGAAAGAAAAAGGCGCCCUGGCAUCGAGCCCAAAAUCCCGCGAAAGGAGCCAUCGGAGAAACGAAGAAGUCCAAUCGCUACUCAGGUUUUUCCGAAAUUUAUAUCUACUCCAGCCAAACUUUUCGACUGAGAACAUCUCGCUCUGCAUUGAGAAAUUUUCAAUUUCAAAACAGCCAAAGUAGAAUUACGUAAAUCGAAGCCAAAAUACUCGUAUAAAACAGAGGGAAAGCCCACAGGCUUGAGGUGGAAAAAGUAGCCUAAUCCGACGACGCUGCGCGGACUUCCUCGAUCAUCGGUCUGUGGGGUUUUGGAAUUAAGCCGGAUUAAAAUGACCACCGCCUCCAAUUUGUUUCGGUAUUAAGUAGAGCGGAGAGGUGGAGAGUUCAGAGGAAGGAAGCAUUCCGCGCGACGACCUUAAUCCGACUUAGAGGCUAUCCGCGCGCGCACGGGAACUAUGAUAUUUCACUCGAACACGCGGGAAAAUUCUUGGGUUGAUAUUUUUCUAAUCGCGUGCGUUGGUGGGAGAGAAGGACGAGGAUCGAAAAUUCGCGCGAGGCCAUUAAUUGGCAUCGACAGUCCGAAUUGGCGGAAUCCUCGGGAGUAGCAUUAAUCGCAUUGUUCGAACCGCAUAAUAGUCGCCGGAAUUGCUUUGCUCUCGGUCUGCUCGCUCGAAAUUGCCAAAAUCGGAUCUUAGCCUGUAUAUACUAUACCGCACUGUGUAUACGAGCCUCGAGAACUGCUACGAGAGCGACUGCUGCUGCUGCUGCAAACCGAGACGUAGAUAAAUGCAAUUAUUUAUCGAUUUAUCGGCCGCUAUGUGCACGUGCGGCUGUAAAUUCGCCAAAGGCGGAAAACGUCGAAAGCUCCGAUUUAAUUAGACACGGCACACCUAUGCUGCGGGUCACAGAGCACAUCGAUAUACAAGCCUCGUAUCUCUCUUUGUCGAUUCAUCCGCGUGAGAUACUCUCUCGGAUCUCGUGUCGUCCCACACAGAGGUUCCGUGUAUAAGCUAUCGACUGGCGCGUGCGCGAUCUUGACGCAAGGUCGAGGGUGUAGCGCAAAGCUCGAGGAGAGCGAGCUUUCAGAAUCUCGAGUGCGGAGUCUUGUGAGUGAGGGAAGAGGGAUCCGUUAUAAUGUAUAUAACGACGCGAACUGCGAUAGGGUUGAUGGCUGAUAUUAUACGCGGUGUAAUAUACUUAUUUUACUCUCGGCUCAGAAUCUCCAUUUUCCGCUUGAGCUUUUAGUGCUUGUGUAUACUCUCGCGAUCUGAAUUUCCGGUAGACUGCGUUGCCUUUAUUGAACGUGUCUUGAGGAAGUUCACUUGAGCAUGAUGAACGUGUAGGGAAAGAUCGACUCUUUGACGGUAUAGCCGAUUCGAAGUUACUUCAAGGUCGCCGUUGAUUAAACUUCCGAAACUCUCACGUAUACACUAUAAAAAAAGAAAAUAAUAAUAAUUUGAUACAUAUGAGUCGAUACGCAGGCCAUAAAGGGAGAAAUUAAAAAGCUCGCGCGAAAUUGCUUUACCCAAAGAAGAAGAAGAAGCAGAAGAAGGAACGCACAAUAGCUGCGGCUCCUGCGAGCAUAUUGUCGCGGGGACGACGACACGUGAGAGAAGCCCUUAGUACUAAAUGAAACGGAGUAACGACGCCAACUAUGGCCGUUCAUAGCGCGACUAAACUCUAAUAAUCCCUGCGCGCCGAUGCAAUUUAGCUGAGGGAGAGAACGCCUUGCCUCAACAACUACGUAGCCAGAAUUCCAA